rnacentral:lncRNA from 1 species
UGUAAAAAAACCCAUGUAAUGUCAAAAAUUUGAUCACAAUCCAAAUUCAGAGCUGUAUCACGCUUGAAUGUUUUGUCCAUACUUGCCCCAACUGUUCAGGGUUCGACCUCUGCGGUUGUAUAAAGCUGCGCCCUGCGGAGCACCUGGUUGGUAUCUGAGUUAACCAUGAUGAGUUAUAGGUCAAGCUUAAGUUUUGUUCCGCUCUGCUGAUUUUUGCUGAAAUUACGGGCUUUUGACUUUGAUAGAUUAUUGAAAAUCACAGUUCUACAGAUUUUUUCUCUAUUACCCUCCAGAUUUUGAGCUGAAUUUUGGUAUGCGAGGCUACCAUCAUGUUUGUGUCCACAUGUGUGUUUAUAUUGAAAUUGCAGAUUUUUCAACUUUU